GGGGGUGAUCGGUCUCGACUUGAGUUGGCAGGGUAUAGGUGGCAUGCCGGGGAAGCUUGGUCGGCCCCGUUAACAAUCCAGGCACACAAUAAACGCAAACGAUACAACGUUAGCGGCAGCCGAGGCGAUCGUAGCUCCGAUUUUCGCAGCUCCGAUCCUCCCUCCGGUUGCACUCGCCUUAGCUUUAUAAUAAGCUAAGCCCUCUUGCAGGCCUCGCCUGCGGGUUUGACAAGGGGACCUUGGCAGGCUGGUUAGAAACGAGUGUCUCGGCGUUUUUAAUAAGAUUUUAGAGACUGGCCCUAAGGAUCCUGUCUGCCGGAGGAAUUAGGGUAAGACCAAAAGACAGACUACGCAUGUAGAAGCUUAUAUUCCGUGACCCAAGGACCCGGGUUCGAUUCCCGGCACCUCCACCA
rnacentral:tmRNA from 3 species